rnacentral:lncRNA from 1 species
GAAUGCCCAAGCGUGAAGAAGCUGUUAGAGGACGUCCGUGAAACAUGCGGGAAGACUUGCCAUCUUUUACCAUUAUUUUCCUGCCUCAAACUUGAAGGGGCAGAGAUAUUUAAAAAGAACGUUGGUUCUCCAGUAUAUGCAUUAGCAACGUCCAGCAGUUCAACUGGCACUAUUGUCAUUUCUGGUUUGGAGAACGGUUCGAUCCACAUCCAUGAACUAGAGACAGG